rnacentral:rRNA from 1 species
UACACAUGCAGUCGAACGAUGAAGGGAGCUUGCUCCUGGAUUAGUGGCGAACGGGUGAGUAACACGUGAGUAACCUGCCCUUGACUCUGGGAUAAGCCUGGGAAACUGGGUCUAAUACCGGAUAUGACUGACCGUCGCAUGGUGGUUGGUGGAAAGCUUUUGUGGUUUUGGAUGGACUCGCGGCCUAUCAGCUUGUUGGUGGGGUAAUGGCCUACCAAGGCGACGACGGGUAGCCGGCCUGAGAGGGUGACCGGCCACACUGGGACUGAGACACGGCCCAGACUCCUACGGGAGGCAGCAGUGGGGAAUAUUGCACAAUGGGCGCAAGCCUGAUGCAGCGACGCCGCGUGAGGGAUGACGGCCUUCGGGUUGUAAACCUCUUUCAGUAGGGAAGAAGCGAAAGUGACGGUACCUGCAGAAGAAGCGCCGGCUAACUACGUGCCAGCAGCCGCGGUAAUACGUAGGGCGCAAGCGUUAUCCGGAAUUAUUGGGCGUAAAGAGCUCGUAGGCGGUUUGUCGCGUCUGCCGUGAAAGUCCGGGGCUCAACUCCGGAUCUGCGGUGGGUACGGGCAGACUAGAGUGAUGUAGGGGAGACUGGAAUUCCUGGUGUAGCGGUGAAAUGCGCAGAUAUCAGGAGGAACACCGAUGGCGAAGGCAGGUCUCUGGGCAUUAACUGACGCUGAGGAGCGAAAGCAUGGGGAGCGAACAGGAUUAGAUACCCUGGUAGUCCAUGCCGUAAACGUUGGGCACUAGGUGUGGGGGACAUUCCACGUUUUCCGCGCCGUAGCUAACGCAUUAAGUGCCCCGCCUGGGGGAGUACGGCCGCAAGGCUAAAACUCAAAGGAAUUGACGGGGG